rnacentral:rRNA from 1 species
CCGCCAGACUCCUACGGGAGGCAGCAGUAGGGAAUUUUCGGCAAUGGGGGGAACCCUGACCGAGCAACGCUGCGUGAACGAAGAAGUUAUUCGUAAUGUAAAGUUCUUUUAUCAGGGAAGAAAGAGGAAUUUGACGGUACCUGAGGAAUAAGCCCCGGCUAACUACGUGCCAGCAGCCGCGGUAAUACGUAGGGGGCAAGCGUUAUCCGGAUUUACUGGGUGUAAAGGGAGCGUAGACGGCGAAGAAAGUCUGAAGUGAAAGCCCGCGGCUCAACCGCGGAAGUGCUUUGGAAACUUUUUUGCUGGAGUACCGGAGAGGUAAGCGGAAUUCCUAGUGUAGCGGUGAAAUGCGUAGAUAUUAGGAGGAACACCAGUGGCGAAGGCGGCUUACUGGACGGUAACUGACGUUGAGGCUCGAAAGCGUGGGGAGCAAACAGGAUUAGAUACCCUGGUACG